rnacentral:lncRNA from 1 species
UCCGGGACAUUGAAACCUUCCAGGACACGUGGACCGGCACCAAUUUCUUUUUCUAACGGAAACCCUGCAUCAAACGUGCGGGUGUGUGGCCCAGUGGUCAGACGGCAGGCAGCCAGAGGUUUGGCUCGUUUGGAAGGACCAGCUCAGGCCUGAUUACUGGGCCGUCCUCGCAGGAGGAGUUCUCAAGUCCGAAAGAUUAGGAGCUCUUCCAGAAACCACAGUGAGAGGAGAGAACAUCAACAAAAAGGGCUUCGGUAAAACAUUUUUCAAUUUAGAUUGUAGUUGCAACUGAAAUAUUUAAUUGGCAAAGAAAGAAAGUGAUGCUCCAGUUCAGUUAUUCUGGAGAUCCAAUGAGAGCAGCACUUGGACCAUUGAGAAGAGACUGCUUUUCUCCUAAGCCCUGGCCUGAAGGAAGAGGAAAAAAACUUGUGACUGAACGGCAACAGAUUCAAGUUUCUAAGCAGCUGAGAAGAUGUGCUUGGAGCACUGAAUGCAGUGUCACUCUCUUUCCUCAACAACACUGCAGAUGACGUGUUGAGUUAGUCACAACCAGCAUCACUGUUUGAUUUUCAAAGGUUGUCUUAAAAAUAUAAAUAUGUUUUUAAAUUAUGCUUAAAAAUGGGAAGCACAUUCCCACAUUUUGUUUAUAUGGGAAUACAAUGUUGAGAGCAUGAAGGUGAUUGGCUGGACGGAGAAUAGAAGACAAGACCAGAGAGCAAUACGCACUAUACGGUUUUCACAAUAAAUUCAGACAUUUGUUAUUUUAAAAACAAACAUUAAAUCUCACAAAAACAAGUGGACAUUUUUUCUUAUUUCCUCUUUUACCGCUGCAAUAUUUAACCUUUUUCAAAUACAACCAUCUUGUAUAACACACAGCCUGGGCAAGUUUUGAGCAAAUGCUUAAAAAGUGCCGUUGUUUUAUAGAUUGUUGUUUACUAUAUAGAGAUGUCAAAUGUUUUUCAGUGAUGAUAGUAUCUGCCAUUUAUCCACUCCCGAAAAUGUAAGAUAUUGGGUGAAAUGCUUAUUUUGGCAAGGAAACUUCAAUGAAAGAAACACAGAGAGGGUUUUCCUCUCUAUUGUUUCACUUGUGAAUCACACGGUAUUGCAAUUAACUAUUGCAAUUGGUGUCUGAUAUGUACUUCCAAUAAAUGUAACAUUAACAAUCCCACUCAAUGGUAAAGUCAUGGUGUUCUUCAGCACAAGGCUUAUUCUCAAUUCCCUUAACCUUGAAUGGGGAACUUCCCCCCCUCUGGAGUCAGAUAAUGUUUGGUAAGAUUCCAUAUUUGAUUAUCACCAACAUUUAUUACCACCAUCUCCACAGCUUCAGUAUCUGCUGUGCAAUUCUUGUAUUCAGUGGUAGUGAAUAAGCCUUAUAGUAACACAUUCCACCCAUAAUAAUACAUGGAUGAAAAUGAAAAGAAAUCUAUUGUUUUUUAAAAUGUAAAUCACACUGGAACUUGUAAUUUUAACUAAAUUACCAACAUCAUACAUUAAUUUUAUAAUUACUAAAUCAACCGUUCACUUUGUCCUUUUAGCAACAGGCUACUUUUAGAAUGCCAUGUGUAAAAUAAAGCAUGCCGUUCAAGCUUUCAUCUGUGCACAGGGAGGACACAACACAAUGAAAGUAAUAAACACAUGCCACAUUACACAAAGAAUGGAUCUUUGUAAAAUAGUGAUUGUGUUUUGAAACUAUACCCUUCAAAUAAUCACAUUUCAAUUGCGCCAUAAGGAGGAAAAACAAUCUCUGGUGCCAUCAUGUGUCCUUGAUUCAGAUGACAGCUGAGGCUGGUUAAAAACAACUGGAGACUAACUGAGGUGGAUUAAACCACCAAUCAACACUCAUUUUUUGUAAUAAAUCACAUAUUGACACUCAGUACUGUGUGUGUUUGACUUGGUGUGGUAGCAGAGUGAAACCAGGCCUUCCUCAGCAGCAACUCCCUGCUCAUUUUUGAUCCUGGACUACUGCAAUUAUGGAUAAACAGGACAUUUUUUCAUAUAAACCAGUUUUGUUUGAGUUGAAUGUGUAUGUUUUCCAAUGCAGAGAACAUCCUGUCUGGCAUCAAGGAUUGCAUAUAUUAACUGUGAAUUGGUAUUGGAACAUUAGAAAUAAUAUGAGACUAUGUUUCUGUUACAGUUGAUGCUGUGGGGUAUGCAGAUCAAUCUGGCAUUUACUAAAUCUUCCCAGCAGCACAGAUCCUAAACCUAAAAAAUGCUGCCUUGAAUUUAGAACUAUUACAAUUUGAUUUGUCUUCAAAGACAAAUGAAAGUGGUAAACUAAUCAGUUCUAUAAUACACACACGAAAGACACAACUCUGCUGGUUCCAGAGUUCUGUCAACAUAUUUUAUAGUCCAUAAUGUUACAUUUUAAUUUUAAAUGAUUAGUUUCAAUCUGCUCUGGUUCCUCUUAAAUGUCACAUCGAAUGGCAAGCCCGUUGAGCUUUUUAAUCAGUAGUGGUUACAGCAAUUGUAGAUAUAAAC